rnacentral:misc_RNA from 1 species
GUUUAUUUCAAAUUCAUUCCGUUUGCAAAUCGGUUACAGAUUGAAUCAGUACAGGUAGACAUUUAAUUUAAAGGUACGAGAAGGUGGAAUGUUGAAAUUGAGGAAACCUCAGUGUGUUUGGGCGCAGUGGGAUGGAACAAUGGAGGCUCCAUUACCAAAGAUACUGCGCAGCGAUCUGGCGACUACACUAUUACUGACGAGCGUCGAAAAGUCUUGGACUGCUACCUCAAAACAUGCUUGCGAAGCCAAAAGGCAGAAGACGCAUGGGGACGCCGAGGAUAAGAUGGUUGCCGGAAUGAAGAAGCUAACAAAGCCUAACGACACCAACGAUUGGGGAUAUUCCCUUGGUGAACCCGUGUUGUCUAGGCAACCAUUGGUCAAUCAAAUACUUGAAUACACAACUUUUGAAAAUGGUGAGAGAAGAUGACAGAACCAUGCUUGUAUGAUUGAAGAGUCCGGAGUUGGCGACCUCAGCCAGCACGAGCCUUGCCAUGGUCCACUAAAUCGUAGAAGACUAUGGUAUCAACACUACAGAUGGCCAUGGCCCUGCCCAACUGCGUGACUGGAAUGCGCUGUCCGUUACGGAGGUUGGCGACCAGCAGGGCAAGUCUGACUCUGUUGACAGCAAUUCGGAAACGUUCAACAGAUGUCUUCCCGGUCCAUUCCCUAAGAUUGUGUAACCAGGAUAUCCUUCGUCUUCCUGAUCCUCUCCUUCCAUCUAUCUUCCCCUGCAUGAUGAGCUGCAGCAGAGAGUAAAAUAGAAUAGAAAUUGACUUUAUUCAACAAACGAUUCAAACAGUUCUCAAUGUAGAAAACAAAGAAACAAAUUGAAAUAAUAAACAGUAAAUCAGAAGUAAACAGUUCAUUAGGCAUGGCAUUUUGCCAUCAGCCGAAGUUGAGCCGAACUUGAUAAUUAUAAUACUUAACUCUUGAGACAAAGAAAAAGCUUUCAUAAAUUAUAUAAUACAGUAAUAAUAAAAAAUAAUAUAUAAAA